rnacentral:rRNA from 1 species
UACGGAGGGUGCAAGCGUUAAUCGGAAUUACUGGGCGUAAAGCGCGCGCAGGCGGUCUUCCAAGUCAGUGGUGAAAGCCCGGAGCUCAACUCCGGAACUGCCAUUGAAACUGUUGGACUUGAGUAUGAGAGAGGUGAGUGGAAUUCCCAGUGUAGAGGUGAAAUUCGUAGAUAUUGGGAAGAACACCGGUGGCGAAGGCGGCUCACUGGCUCAUUACUGACGCUCAGGCGCGACAGCGUGGGGAUCAAACAGG